GAUGAACGCUGGCGGCGUGCCUAAUACAUGCAAGUCGAGCGAACGGACGAGAAGCUUGCUUCUCUGAUGUUAGCGGCGGACGGGUGAGUAACACGUGGAUAACCUACCUAUAAGACUGGGAUAACUUCGGGAAACCGUAGCUAAUACCGGAUAAUAUUUUGAACCGCAUGGUUCAAAAGUGAAAGACGGUCUUGAUGUCACUUAUAGAUGGAUCCGCGCUGCAUUAGCUAGUUGGUAAGGUAACGGCUUACCAAGGCAACGAUGCAUAGCCGACCUGAGAGGGUGAUCGGCCACACUGAAACUGAGACACGGUCCAGACUCCUAGGGAAGGCAGCAGUAGGGAAUCUUCCGAAAUGGGCGAAAGCCUGACGAAGCAACGCGGCGUGGGUGAUGAAGUUCUUCGAAUCGUAAACCUCUGUUGUUGGGAAAGACCAUAUGUGUAAGUACUGUGCACAUCUUGACGGUACCUAAUCAGAAAGCCACGGCUAACUACGUG
rnacentral:rRNA from 1 species